AGUGAACGCUGGCGGUAGGCCUAACACAUGCAAGUCGAACGGCAGCACAGUAAGAGCUUGCUCUUACGGGUGGCGAGUGGCGGACGGGUGAGGAAUACAUCGGAAUCUACUUUUUCGUGGGGGAUAACGUAGGGAAACUUACGCUAAUACCGCAUACGACCUACGGGUGAAAGCAGGGGAUCUUCGGACCUUGCGCGAUUGAAUGAGCCGAUGUCGGAUUAGCUAGUUGGCGGGGUAAAGGCCCACCAAGGCGACGAUCCGUAGCUGGUCUGAGAGGAUGAUCAGCGACACUGGAACUGAGACACGGUCCAGACUCCUACGGGAGGCAGCAGUGGGGAAUAUUGGACAAUGGGCGGAAGCCUGAUCCAGCCAUACCGCGUGGGUGAAGAAGGCCUUCGGGUUGUAAAGCCCUUUUGUUGGGAAAGAAAAGCAGCAGGUUAAUACCCCGCUGUUCUGACGGUACCCAAAGAAUAAGCACCGGCUAACUUCGUG
rnacentral:rRNA from 1 species